AACAUGUAACCGAAAAAAAUAUAGAAAAAUUUAUAGAGAGGGUAUUUGUUAAGCGACUUUUUGCUUCGCUUACAAACACGAAUUCGGAAAUUUAAAUAUCAAAUUAACUGUACAAGCAAAAGUUCUUUGACGGAUGACACAACCGAUAUUUAGCUGGCAAAGCACUUUUUAAAAGCGAUUUUAAUAAUAAAAUAAGCUGCUUAAAAUUACAUAAAAUAUUUAAUGAAUAUUACGCGAAAUUUAAUAAGUAAGCAAAAAAUGUUUCAUAAUUGACGGACAUCGUGUGCAGUUUUGUGCCAUUAGCAAAAUCAAGAGAAGUUAACCGAGAGAUAAAAUGCGAAAAUAAACUGCAAAUUGCAUAUUUGCGGGCGUCGGCGAGUAAGAUAGCAAAAAUCUAUUUGCAUAUUUUCCACAUUUAUUGAAUAAAAGCCAAAAAUAACUGACAUUUCAUUUAAACACGACAGUCGAAAAGCGACAGCUUUGUUUUGUGUCUAGCAUUUUGCUGUUGGCAUUUGUAAACAAACAGCAAACAGCAGGCGUUGAGAUUGCAUAAAAGUUGUGUUAUGCCAAUGCAUAGAGUGCAUUCUCUCGCUCUCUCUUUCUCGCUAUCUCUGGAAUUGCUAUACUAAAUAAUAUAAUAAAAAAUAAUAAUAUAAAAAAAUAGUAUUAAUA